rnacentral:rRNA from 1 species
AUUGAACGCUGGCGGCAGGCCUAACACAUGCAAGUCGAACGAGUGGCGGACGGGUGAGUAAUGUCUGGGAAACUGCCUGAUGGAGGGGGAUAACUAAUGGAAACGGUAGCUAAUACCGCAUACCAUCGGAUGUGCACAGAUGGGAUUAGCUUGUAGGUGGGGUAACGGCUCACCUGGGCGACGAUCCCUAGCUGGUCUGAGAGGAUGACCAGCCACACUGGAACUGCGACACGGUCCGGACUCCUACGAGAGGCAGCAGUGGGGAAUAUUGCACAAUGGGCGCAAGCCUGAUGCAGCCAUGCCGCGUGUAUGAAGAAGGCCUUCGGGUUGUAAAGUACUUUCAGCGGGGAGUCGUUACCCGCAGAAGAAGCACCGGCUAACUCCGGGCCAGCCGCCGCGGUAAUAG